GUGGGGAAUCUUAGACAAUGGGGGCAACCCUGAUCUAGCCAUGCCGCGUGAGUGAUGAAGGCCUUAGGGUUGUAAAGCUCUUUCAGUGGGGAAGAUAAUGACGGUACCCACAGAAGAAGCCCCGGCUAACUCCGUGCCAGCAGCCGCGGUAAUACGGAGGGGGCUAGCGUUGUUCGGAAUUACUGGGCGUAAAGCGCACGUAGGCGGAUCGGAAAGUUGGGGGUGAAAUCCCAGGGCUCAACCCUGGAACUGCCUUCCAAACUAUCGGUCGGGAGUCCGAGAGAGGUGAGUGGAAUUCCGAGUGUAGAGGUGAAAUUCGUAGAUAUUCGGAGGAACACCAGUGGCGAAGGCGGCUCACUGGCUCGGUACUGACGCUGAGGUGCGAAAGCGAGGGCAGCAACCAGGAUCAAAUACCCCGCUAGUCC
rnacentral:rRNA from 1 species